rnacentral:rRNA from 2 species
UGAGGAAUAUUGGUCAAUGGGCGAGAGCCUGAACCAGCCAAGUCGCGUGAAGGAAGAAGGAUCUAUGGUUCGUAAACUUCUUUUGCAGGGGAAUAAAGUGCGGGACGUGUCCUGUUUUGUAUGUACCCUGAGAAUAAGGAUCGGCUAACUCCGUG